rnacentral:rRNA from 1 species
CCUACGGGUGGCUGCAGUGGGGAAUAUUGCACAAUGGGGGAAACCCUGAUGCAGCGACGCCGCGUGAGUGAAGAAGUAUUUCGGUACGUAAAGCUCUAUCAGCAGGGAAGAAAAAAAGUCCUUUGGACUUUGGACGGUACCUGACCAAGAAGCCCAGGCUACCUACGUGCCAGCAGCCGCGGUAAUACGAAGGGGGCGAGCGUUAUCCGGAAUUACUGGGUGUAAAGGGAGCGUAGACGGCGAGGUAAGCCUGAAGUGGAAGCCCGCGGCCCAACCGCGGAAUGGCUGUGGGAACAGGUUUGCUGGAGUAUGGGAGGGGUAAGCGGAAUUCCUGUGGUAGCGGUGAAAUGCGUAGAUAUCAGGAGGAACACCGGUGGCGAAGGCGGCUUACUGGACCAUAACUGACGUUGAGGCUCGAAAGCGUGGGGAGCGAACAGGAUUAGAUACCCCAGUAGUC